rnacentral:rRNA from 1 species
UGAGUAACACGUAUCCAACCUGCCGUCUACUCUUGGACAGCCUUCUGAAAGGGAGAUUAAUACAAGAUGGCAUCAUGAGUCCACAUGUUCACAUGAUUAAAGGUAUUCCGGUAGACGAUGGGGAUGCGUUCCAUUAGAUAGUAGGCGGGGUAACGGCCCACCUAGUCUUCGAUGGAUAGGGGUUCUGAGAGGAAGGUCCCCCACAUUGGAACUGAGACACGGUCCAA